UCAAAGGGGUGAGAUGAUCGCUUUCUCUUAAUUGAGAAGGAGGAAAGUCCGAACACUCCCCUGUUUUUUAAUAGGGAGCAAGUAGUGGGUAAUACCCAUCCUUUUUUCAGGGUAAUUCUUGGGGAGAGAGAGGUGCGAACAGUGACGUUCAGAUCCGAGAGGUGACGAACUCCUUUUUCAUAAAGGGAUGAAUUCAAGGAGUAAUCUUUGGGGUGAAACGGCUAAAUCCUUACUUGAGUGCAAGAACAAACCUUUUUAUUCGUAAAAAGGAAAAAGUGGUUCGCUUGAUUCCAUAGAGUAAUUUAUGGAACAGAUAAAUGAUCGUCGCCCUUUUAAUGGUAACAUUAUUUAAGGGAACAGAAUUCGGCUUACCACCCUUUUGGGCUU
rnacentral:RNase_P_RNA from 1 species